GAUGAACGCUGGCGGCGUGCCUAAUACAUGCAAGUCGAGCGAACAGAUGAGGAGCUUGCUCCUUUGACGUUAGCGGCGGACGGGUGAGUAACACGUAGGUAACCUACCUAUAAGACUGGGAUAACUUCGGGAAACCGGAGCUAAUACCGGAUAAUAUUUCGAACUGCAUGGUUCGAUAGUGAAAGAUGGCUUUGCUAUCACUUAUAGAUGGACCUGCGCCGUAUUAGCUAGUUGGUAAGGUAACGGCUUACCAAGGCAACGAUACGUAGCCGACCUGAGAGGGUGAUCGGCCACACUGGAACUGAGACACGGUCCAGACUCCUACGGGAGGCAGCAGUAGGGAAUCUUCCGCAAAGGGCGAAAUCCUGACGGAGCAACGCCGCGUGAGUGAUGAAGGUCUUCGGAUCGUAAAACUCUGUUAUUAGGGAAGAACAAACGUGUAAGUAACUGUGCACGUCUUGACGGUACCUAAUCAGAAAGCCACGGCUAACUACGUG
rnacentral:rRNA from 1 species